GGUUACUACUCAAAGAUUUUCUAACUGAGCUGAGCUUAGGGUCACCCUCCCGAUAUUUGAUUAUGUCUUUAAGUAAAUCAAGACAUUCCCUAGAUAGAUUCAGGGCACCAACCACAAAAUGUUUGUCAGAAGAUGUGGGCACACCCACACCAGAAAAACGUGAGAAAGAGUCUGCCAGAACGUUCUUGCUCCCAGAAAUGUGCUUGAGGUCGAAAGAAAACUCUUGCAGUGCUAGUGCCCAUCUUGUGAUACGUGGUGACAAUAGUCUGCAAGUUUUCAGGUAUGUUAAUGCCCUGCAAUCAGUGUAUAAAAUAAAAUGAUUCCCUAGCAGAUAAACCCUCCACUUUUGGAGCACCCAGAGCGCAGCAAGUACUUCCUUUCCAUAGGCACAGUAUCGCCUCUCUCUAUCAAGCAAUAUCCGUGAUACACAAGACACAAGCCUCCUUUCCCCGUUCACAAUCUGGAACAGUAUUCCAGCAAUUUCAACGUCACUUGCAUCCGUCUCAACAUGCAUUUGCAGGUUAGGAUUAGGAUGAUAAAGCAUCGUAGCAUUUUUCAAUUCUUCCUUCAGACAGUUGAAUGAUGUUUCCUCGGCCUCCGUCCACUUCCAUGCAGAUUUUUUCCGGAGAAGUUUCGUAAGUGGUGCAGACAACUCAGAAAAUCUUGCAGUGAAUAUUCGGUCAUAUUGGCACAGCCCAAGAAACCUCUGUAGCUCCCUGGCAUUGCAGGGUGAACGAUAAUCCGCGAUUGCCUGAACUCUGCUUGGAUCAGGUGUUACUCCAGACGAGGUUAGUAUAUAACCCAAAUAGGGAAUUUCAUCCCUGAUGAAAAUGCAUUUCUCCAAUUUUAGAGUUAAGCCAGCAUCUUGGAGACGCUGGAAAACCAUCCUGAGAUGCAUCAUGUGUUCUUCAAAUGAUUCAGAUAUAAUUAGUAUGUCAUCAACGUAGGCAACGACGAAAUCAUGAAAAUCUGGUCCCAGAACUGUAUCAACACAUCGAGUGAAGGAGCUCGUAGCAUUCUUAACUCCAAAUGGCAGCACACAGAAUUGAUGUGUUUUUGUACCCACCAUGAAGCCUGCAUAUUUUUUCGAUUCUGGUGUCAAUGGACACUGCCAAUAUCCAUGGGUCAGAUGUAAACUUGACAGGAACUUUUUUCCAGACAUCAUUUUUAUUAUUUCAUUUAUUGGCCUGGGUAACUCAAACUGGGAUUCCAUCACUUUAUUCAGAUGUCUUGCAUCUAAACAGACUCGAACUGAACCAUCCUUCUUCACAGUGGUCAUUAUCGGCGAAAUGUAUUUGGGUGAUGCCCGUUCGAUGACGCCCCAUUCAACCAUUUGGUCGAUGGUACGUUCUACAGCUGGUCGAUGUGCAACAGGAAUUGGGUACGGUUUCAUAAAAAAUUCUGACUCAUCCGCCAACCUAAUUUCGUGAUAAUAUUCAUACUCAUCUGCUUGUCGAAGACGAGAGACUGCAUCUGAUAGACUUGAACAUCCGAGUAAAGAACAGGAGAUGUUUGGUGGAAAAUGAGGGGCGAUUGCAUCUAUUAGUUCUUUCACCGUAUACGGUGGUUCCAAGUGUUUAGUAGCAGCAACCCAGUAAUUAAAAUGAUCUACCAACAAACCUUCUCUGUAUUCAGUUCUUUCUUGUUGAUCUUUGAUCUUAAUUUGUUUUUUCUUACUCCAAAAAUGACACAGAAAUUCAGUUUUAAAUUGCGCAUAAUCUCCAAAAUAAUCAGAAUAGGCCUCCCACCAAAGUUUGGCUGAACUCUUAAAACAGUUUCUGAAUAUUAUC